rnacentral:rRNA from 1 species
GACGGGGGGGGCAAGUGUUCUUCGGAAUUACUGGGCGUAAAGCGUGCGCAGGCGGUUUGUUAAGUCCGUUGUGAAAGCCCCGAGCUCAACUUGGGAAUUGCAGUGGAUACUGGCAAGCUGGAGUACGGUAGAGGAAGGUGGAAUUCCCGGUGUAGCAGUGAAAUGCGUAGAUAUCGGGAGGAACACCAGUGGCGAAGGCGGCACUCUGGGACGGUACUGACGCUGAGACGCGAAAGCGUGGGGAGCGAACAGG